AUUAAAGGGCAAUUUUUAGAAAAGGGAUAUGAUGAAACCAUUUUAGAUCAAGAUCUUAAUGAAGUUAGAAAACUCCAAAGAAAAAAUCUCAUUCAAUAUAAACCAAAAUACAAACCAAGAGACACAAGCGAAAUUCCUUUUAUUUGUAAUUUUAAUGGACAAAACAAACGCAUACAAUGCACCAUAAAAAAGUAUUGGCAUUUACUCCAGG